UGUGCAGACCCUAUGGGUUCGAGAACUAUGUAGACAUGCCCCAAGGUACUCCUCGGUCAAUAUCCAAUAGCGGUACCUGGAUGCCCAUAUUGGAUCCUACAUAUUCUCCGAAGAUCUUAUCGGUUGAACCUCAGUGUCAAGGAUUCAUAUAAUCCCGUAUGUGAUUCCAUUUGUCCUUCGGUAUAUUACUUGCCCAAGAUUCGAUCGUAGGUAUCCGCAUACCUACUUCAAUCUCAUUACCGGCAAGUCUCUUUACUCGUUCUGUAAUACAAGAUCCCGUGACUUACACUUAGUCACAUUGCUUCCAAGGCUUGUGUGUGAUGUUGUAUUACCGAGUGGGCCCCGAGAUACCUCUUCGUCACACGGAGUGACAAAUCCCAGUCUUGAUCCAUACUAACUCAACGGACACCUUCGGAGAUACCUGUAGAGCACCUUUAUCGUCACCCAGUUACGUUGUGACGUUUGAUACACACAAGGUAUUCCUCUGGUGCGAGUGAGUUUAUAUGAUCUCAUGGUCAUAGGAACAAAUACUUGACACGCAGAAAACUAUAGCAAUAAAACGACACGAUCAAUAUGCUACAUUCAUAGUUUGGGUCUAGUCCAUCACAUGAUUCUCCUAAUGAUGUGGUCCAGUUAUCAAGCAACAACACUUUGCACAUAGUCAGAAAACCUUGACUAUCCUUGAUCAACUGGCUAGCCAACUAGAGGCUUGCUAGGGACAUUGUUGUGUCUAUGUAUCCACACAUGUAUCUAUGUUUUCAUUCAAUACAAUUAUAGCAUGGAUAAUAAACGAUUAUAUUUAAACAUGAAAUAUAAUAAUAACUAUUUACCAUUGCCUCUAGGGCAUAUUUCCAACAAUGUGAUGCCUAUAUACAUAUGAUCAUUGAUACGUCUCCAACAUAUCAAUAAUUUAUGAACUAUUCAUGUCAAUAUUCUACAACUUCCAUAUACUUUUGGCAACAUUUUAUAUUAUUUUUUGGGAAUAACUUACUUACCGAAUGUCCUUUGCCAUUUUUAUUUUUUGUGUGUUUUUGUUUCACGGAAAUUCCAUAUCAAACGGAGUCCAAAUGUGAUAGAAAUUUAGGGAGAUUUUUUUAUAAUAUAUGUCAAUUUUGGGAAAAAGAAUCAAUGCCACAUGAUGCCCGAGGCUCUCACACGACAACAGGGCAUGGCCAGGGGGGUGGUCACACCCUGAUGCCUUGUGGCUCCCCCUUAAGUCGGUUGGGGCCCUAAUUUCACCGCAAGAAAGAUAUUUCCCUGAUAAAAAACCCUCAAAAUUUUAGCCUGAUCGGAGUUAUGGAGCUCCGGAUAUUUAAGAAACAGUGAAGGGCCAGAAAACAGGAGAGAAACUAAGAGAGAGAGAUCCAAUCUCGGAGGGGGUGUUGCCCCUCCGGGAGCCAUGGUGGCCAAGGACUAGAGGAGUGAACCUCUCCCCAUCUAGGGAGAGGUCAUGGAGGAGGAAGCCUAAUGGGGGACACUCUCUCCCCCUCUCUUCCGGUGGCGCCGGAGUGCCGCCGGGAGAACCAUCGGCGCAGUGAUCGUCAUCAUCAACAUCACCGUCUCCAUCACCUUCCCUAGUCUAUCUAUGGCGGUCCACUCUCCCGCACCUUUCUGUAAUCCCCUACUUGAACAUGGUGUUUCAUGCCACAUAUUAUUAAUCAAUGAUGUGUUGCCAUGUUAUCAUGUUUUAGUAGAUUUAUGUUGUCCUUUGGGUUGAUUAAUUUGAGUGUAUGUUUUAUUUUGGUGUUGUCCUAUGGUGCCCUUCGUGUCAUGCACACGUGAGGGAGUUCUUACUGUAUGGUUCGCAAUAUGUUCAUGAUUUUAUUGUAGUGGGUGGCUAGAGUGACAGAAGCUUACACCCGAGUAAGGGAGUUGUUUGCAUAUGGGAGUAAAGGUGACUUGAUGUUUAAUGUUAUGGUUUGGUUUACCUUAAUGAUUUCUAGUAGUUGUGGAUGCUUGCUAGAGAUCCAAUCAUAAUUUCAUAUGAUCCAAGUACGGAAAGUAUGUUAGCUCAUGCGUCUCCCUCAUAUAAAAUUGCAAGAAUGGUUACCGAUCUUGUUAUAAAUUGCCUAGGAUGAUUCCGCACACCAUACCAUCAUUAUUCCACACUCGCUAUUUGUAAUAUAUUGUGAUAUAUUCUAACUUUAUUUAGCAAGAUACUAUUUUCAUAUUUUAGUUCUACAAUAUCAUGCAAACAUAUCCUCUCUAUGCCCACAACGCGGAUUUAUUUCUCGUUACAAGAUAGAAGCAAAUGUUUGGUGUAUGUAGAGUCGUAUCGGUAGCAGAUAGGACUUGAGAGAAUAUUGAUCUUACCUUUAGCUCCUUGUGGGUUCAACACUUCAUACUUACCACUUCCAUAUUUGUAAAUUGCUACGAUGAUUCAUUCCACUUGGGGAUUCUCAAGCUCUAUAAGGCUUGCCCAACUGAUCCCUUUGCCCUCCCACGUAUUGACCAGAUCAUUGACGCAACGGCGGGUUACGAGAGUCUGUGCUUCCUGGAUGCUUAUUCUUGUUAACAUCAGAUAAAGAUGCUGGUUGAAGACGAGGAAAAAGAAACUUUUAUCACGCCCUUUGGAGCUUUCAGUUAUGUAUCUAUGCCUUUUGGGCUCAAGAGUGCUCAGGUGACUUACCAGCAUCGUGUUCAGAAUUGCCUUCAUGGACAGAUUGGGCGCAAUGUUCAUGCUUAUGUUGAUGAAAUUGUGGUAAAAUCAAGGAAGAAGGAAACCUUGCUUGAAUAUUUGAAGGAAACCUCUGACAAUCUCCGGGUGUACAAGAUGAUGCUUAACCCGACCAAGUGCGUCUUCGGGCUAUGUGCAGGAAAACUACUAUGUUUCCUGGUUUCAAAGAGAGAUAUUGAAACUAACCCGAAGAAAAUUGUGGCCGUCACUUCCUUAUCUAAGCCGGCAUGUAUCAAUGACGUGCAACGCCUGGCAGGUCACAUUGCGGCCCUGAGCCGGUUCAUAAGUUGCGUGGGUGAAAAGGCGAUUUCUCUAUACCAAAUGAUGAAAAAGAGUGAUCAUUUUGUCUGGAGUGAUGCUGUUAAUGAGGCUUUUGAAGCACCUAAGAGCAGUUGGUUGAGUCGCCCGUCUUGGUGGCUCCGAUCGACAAAGAGCAUAUGUUCCUAUAUGUGGCGACUAAUAAUCGGGCCAUCGACGUGGCAGUUGUCGUGGAAUGCAAGGAGGCAGGGAAGGAGUGCCCAGUCCAACAGCCGGUUUAUUAUGUCAGCGAAGUCUUAUUAGAGUCCAAGCAAAGAUAUCCACAUUGGCAGAAAUUGGUGUUUGGAGUGUUCAUGGCUAGUCGCAAGUUAAAACAAUACUUCCUUGGGGAUCCAAUCACUGUUGUCAGUUCGGCUCCUCUCGGAGAUAUCAUCCAAAAGAGAGAAGCUAUAGGCCGGGUUGCUAAGUGGGCAACUGAGCUUGGGCCUCAUCAUUUGAAAUACGUGCCCAGGACUGCUAUCAAGUAUCAAGCCUUGGUAGAUUUCAUCAAUUACUAGACAGAGUUACAAACACCCGAGGAAAAACCACAUAAUACAUACUAGACGAUACACUGACGGAUCUAGACAAUUGGAAGGCUCGGGGGUUGGAGUUAUUUUAUCUUCCCCACAAGGUGACAAGUUUUGUUAUGUCCUCCGUCUUAUGCUUCCAUGUACUAACAUGUAGAUGAGUAUGAGGCUUUAUUACAUGGGAUCCACAUGGCUAAGGAAAUGAACUUAAGCAAACUCAGAUGCUUGGGCGACUCAGAUCUUGUGGCACAACAAGUUUCAAGGAAGCGGGACUCUAAAGACCGGCUCAUGGCGGCUUAUCUUCAGGCGGUGACUAACAUUGUGUUAGAGCAUAUAUCUCCAUAUGUGGUUUUGGUAAUUGAUGGCAAUUCCUAUGGACUAAUGGUUGCCUUAAGUUAUAUUUAUAGGAUUUGUCCAUAGGCACUUCUUGAAGUCCAUCUGUUGGGUUCAAGGAGUUUAUAUGAUGACCAAGAUGGUAUUCAAGGUAUUAUCCAAAGAAUGGUCAUAGAGACACAAGGUUGAUCAAGAUCUCAUACAAAGAGUAAAUCAAGAUGAUCAACACACAAAGCGUACAAGAUGUACCGAGAGGGAUCAAGUGAUCCCAUGGUAUGGUAAGCAUUGUCCAUUACGUGUUUGUGUACUAACCCAUGGUCUUCGUGAGAGUUCUAUGUGGGGGUUAGGUGUGUUUCCAUGGGCUUGCGUUAAAAGGAAGAUCUCAUACAACCCAUGAAGGAUGACGUCAAGUGGUGAUCGUCAUCAAGAUUGCGGUGUGCAAGUUCAAGUGGAUCGGCACGAAUAUAUCAUGCUUGAAGCUUGUCGUCCAUUGUGGUGGCAAUGGACUUGUGAAGAUAUGCUGAAGAGUGGCUCACCCAUAGUGAGUAUGGGGGAGCAAUCAACUAGUCUUCAUCAAGCCAACACAAUCAAGAAAGUUGGUCCAUCUUGAGGAAGCAAAGAUCAUCAUCAUCUAGCUCAAGAGGUCGAGGUACAAGGUAUAGGUUUGCCCUUGAUAGGUUUUCUGUUUUAGGAUAGAUUGUUGUACUAUCAAGGGGGGCUCUCAAGUGAGUAGCUUGAUCGUAUCGUUCAUUGAGAGCUCAAACCAUUUGCAUCCUUGCGUCAUACUUCUUGGUUCUUAUUUGGUGUUUCUCUUUGUGAUUUUUAGAGCUUAUGGUCAUCUUCAUGACAAGCUCGAGUUCAUCGAAAACGGAGUCCAUAUGCAUCUACUAUGAUGUUUUCGAUGUUGGAGUUUUUGCCGGUUCUUCAUUCAUAGAGGUCUCACAUCUCUAUAUCAUUGGCAUUUUCAUAUCUGCAAGUUUGGAUAGCUCUUGUCGUCCUGAAUCCAACAAGCUUGGGUUUGCUCGAUUCGGAGCUCGUAUGCGAAAGUUAUGGUUGUUUCAGUGGCGAGCGGUAGUACUGCUGGACCUAGCGGUAGUACCGAUGGCCCUAGCGGUAGUACUGCUAGAGCUGGCAGUAGUACCGCUGUCCUAGCGGUAGUACCGCCCCUGGUCAGCGAUAGUACCGCUCCAAGACUUUAGUACCGUCAUCCUUGCGGUUGUACUACGUCGGAAUUUUUGCGAAGACGUUCUUGGCGGUGGUUGGCCCGGUAGUAUCUUUGCGCUACCAUGGGCUCAGCGGUAGUACCGCUGCAGCCAGCGGUAGUACCGCUGCAGGGUCAGCGGUAGUACCGCUGGGCUCGGGCUGUAAGUGGGGGUAACGGUCUGAUUCCUUCCCCCACUAUAUAAAGGGGGUCUUCUUCCCCCUUGGCCUUAUCCAUAUCUUUAGCUCAUGUUCUUCCCCCAUUGUUGACCUUCUUCGAGCUUGCUAACUCUCAAUCCCUCCAAUGAUUCUUGCUAGUUCUUGAGGGAAAAGAAAGAGGAGAUCUAGAUCCACAUUUCCACCAAUCACUUUCUCCUCUAACUGAGGGGAACCCCUUGAGUCUAGAUCUUGGAGUUCUUCGUGUUCUUCUUCGUUCUUCCUCUCAUUUUCCUCCCUAGCAUUAGUUGCUUUGGUGGGAUUUGGGAGAGAAGGACUUGGGCACUCCGUGUGCCCUUGCCAUUGCAUUAGUUGCAUCGGUUUGAGUUCUCCACGGUGAUACGUGGAAGUGAAGUUUGAGAAGCUUAUUACCUUUGGUACUUAGUACCCUAGAUAUUGUUCUUCGUGGAUGCUUUGGAGUCCUAGAAGCUUGGUGGUGUCUCGAAGCUCAAUCAUUGUGGUGUAAAGCUCCGGGCAAGUGUCGGGGUCUCCAAUUAGGUUGUGGAGAUUGCCCUGAGCAAUUUGUACGGGUACCGGUGACCGCCCCCAAGGUUUUCCAUUUGUACGGGUUCGGUGACCGCCCUCAAGGGUCCCUUGGUGGAAUCACGGCAUCUUGCAUUGUGCGAGGGCGUGAGGAGAUUACGGUGGCCUUAGUGGCUCUUGGGGAGCAUUGUGCCUCCACACCGCUCCAACAGAGAUUAGCAUCGGAAAGGGUGUGAACUUCAGGAUACAUCAUUGUCUCCGCGUGCCUCGGUUAUCUCUUUCCUGAACCCUUUACUUAUGCACUUUACUUUGUGAUAGCCAUAUUGUUUAUUCUCAUAUAUCUUGCUAUCACUUAGUUGUUUAUCUUGCUUAGCAUAAGUUGUUGGUGCACAUAGGUGAGCCUAGUUGUUGCAAGUUUUGUGCUUGACAAAUUAAACGUUAGUUUUAUUCCGCAUUUGUUCAAGCCUAAACCGUAAUUAUUUUAAAGCGCCUAUUCACCCCCCUCUAGGAGACAUCCACAUCCUUUCACAUUGCUACUCACUUAAAAGGAUAUCAAGUGGAUCAUAUAGACCGAUGUCUUAAUGAGGCGCCAGAUGCUUUAUCGCGGUUAGGUUCUCAGCGUAAUCCGGUCCCCCCCCCCAAUGUGUACCAUUUCAACAGCUCAUCCAUCACUCCCGAGGCAUAUCACGUGUCACCACUCGACGGCCAUGGGCACACAAGGUUCUCCACGUUAGCGGACUUCAGCAUGGUUGCUCUGGGCAUGCCCUCGGGCAUCAUCGACCUCAAUGUCAUGUCGGGGUACAGUGGCGCUGGCUAGCCGCCCGACGGGAUGCAAAGGAAGUAGCUCCGGUCGCUCCCUUCGGCAAACAUGGCCCCCACAUGCAGGUUGUUUGACGAAAUGCCACUAUCGACGCCAACUAUCGAUGACCCUGACUAUGCGAUAUUCAUGGAGAACGUCGUCUUCGGGGGCCGUGGUGAGGACUUCCACGUCGAUGGCCAAGGCCAAGCUUUUGAUACCGAUGCAACCCAAAGCCAGGACGGUCGAGGCCGCUAUGAAGACACUCAAUUCGACGACCACUAUGAAGACACUCAAUUCGACAGCCAUGAGGACGACCAUGGAAAUUCUUGGCAUGAAGAUGAUGACUUGUAUUGUGUAGAUGAGAAAGAAGAGGUCGACAUUUUGGCAGAUCCAUUGGUGUUCAUGGACGAGCUCACCCAAAGGGCCGAGGCACAAAAGAAGAGGCAAAGCAUUCACACGUGAUCAUGCACUCAACUAGAGGACACGUUGAUUUGCGAGACUUGGAUGGAGAUAGGCCAAUAUCCUAUGAAAGGUUUUGAGAAAAAAGAUUCGUCUUUUGGAAGAGAGUUCGCAACACCUUUCAUGAGCGAAGGAAGUUUCCCCCCUACCAAUUCGCAAGCACACGACAUCAAUUAAAUCCAAAAGAGAUGGGGAUUCAUCCAACAAGAGUGCGACAAAUAUUGUUCCACGCUUGAGAGCAUUCAAGCCCGUCUCGUGAGUGGCCUAGGCAUUGGUGACUUGGUAUGAACCACUAGUUUUCUCGUCAUGUGUCCAUUCAUGUUGGCAUGCAAUUUAUGUUUUGAUGUACUUUGUGUCCUUCCAUGUUACAAUUGUGGCCGCAUCUUUGGUUGUGUAGGCGUUCCAAUCUUUGGAAGCCUUCAACGCUCGACACAAGAAUAAGUCCUUUACUCUCACGUAUUGUUGGUCGUUCAUCAAAGAUUGCCUCAAGUUCAAAGACCAAUAUGUUGCUCGUAAAAAUAAAGGAGGGAAGGCGGUUGUGGCUGACGAAGGAGGCUUACUCAAGAGGCCGAAGGGGAAUACAAUCUCAAAGGCCGAGGAGAAGUGUGAUGCAGCUUCUAUAGCCUUGCAAGGAACAUUGGAGAACAUGAUGAGCCAAAAGGAAGUGACGUAAUAGUGGAGGAGCAAAGGGAAGGAGGAUAAAAUAAAGAUCUACCUAGAUCUCCAAACGAAGAAGCUUGACAUGGAGGAGGUCGUGAAGAGGAGGAAGCUUGACAUCGAGGAGGCCUCUCAACUCAAGAAGCUCGAGAUCGAGGCCACCAAUGCCGAGAACAAAGCAACAGAGGUGGCACUCGUGUUCACGAGUGUCGACAAGAACAACAUUUCAUGAGAGACGAAGGCUUGGUUCGUGAACCGGCAGAAGGAGAUGUUCGCCCGCGACAACCCGAACUAGGUGAGAUCUUGGUCGCGACCGCCAUCCAUUUAAAAGGUUGGCUGGUGUGCCGGCCGCUCGCCUUGUUGACGGCACCAAAAACCUGUCCAUUUUGAAGGUUGGCUCGUGUGCCGGCCACUGGCUUUGUUGCCGGCCCAAAACUUGUCCAUUUUGAAGGUUGGUUCGUGUGCCCGCACUUGGCUUUGUUGCCAACGUGAAAGUUGGAUGACCAUUCUGUAGGCCGCUAGCUUUGUUGCCGGCCAGCAUGAACUCAUGUGAACACGGUCGCUCGCAUAAACUAUGCCCACAGCCAUUUAGCUACAUCCUUUAUUCUUUUCAUAUUUGUAAGCAGAGCGGACGAGAUGCGACCGAAAUGCAAUCGCGUGUUGGGCGCACGAGUGACGCAUCCACAAAUCCGGACACACAUUCUCCCAAUGCCAUUACAAACAAACAAAAAAUAGAUAAAAUGGAUGUCCGUUUGAGAUCGUGCAUUAGAGUUUCCCUUAGAUAAACUCCAACGCGCUCAUCCAUUUCGUCCGCGUGCGUCCGUUUGGGUCGCGGCGGACAAAAGUGACGGCCCAACGCGCCAACCCAAACCCAAAUCACGUCCGCUUCGCCUCCGCGCGGACCCAUUUUCAGCCCAAAAUUGCACGUGAAAUGCGUCGGUGCAAACGUGAAGCGGACGCGACACGCGCCUUCUCACGUCCAAGCCCAUCCACACGUGGCGCCCGGUCAAAGCCAACGGCAUCUUUAUUAACAACGAUCGCCCGCUGCAGUCCCACGCGUCAGCGACCCACUCGCGUCCUUUUUUAAUCCGAGCGUGAGGGGGGCUCAUCCUCUUCGAGAAGCCACCCCAUCCACAUCUAGCCACUCCUGCUCCCCCGCCGGCGGCAAACCCUAGCCACCACCACCAUGGGGUUCUUCCCCGCGAAGGACAAGGAAAAGUCCCUCGCCGUCCCUGUCUGCGCGUCGGAGUCUUCCCAUCCACCUCACCAGCGGGUCAACGUGCCGGUGCACCAGACGAGGUGGCAUUGGGAGCACCGUGUCCUCCUCCCCUACCCUGAUAUAAUGCUACCGCAUGACUGGCUGACGCUAGAGUAGUGGCGCAGCCCCGUCUACGUUGCAGACUCCCCGAUUGGUACGCUGGUUUGCUGGGAGCACGAUGAGCAACAUCGGCAUGGCGUCUGCGACGUGGCGGCUGGACCACUACCGCCCCUCGUCAUGCGCGAAGAGGACCAGAAGGCGGAGGCGGCGUACCAGAACGCGCUUGCGGCCAUCCUGCGCGCAAUCGAGGAGGGAGCGUGCCUGAAGGAGGAGGAGAAGGCCGCCUACGAGAAGGAGCUGGCGGAGGCCAUUGCGUUCUCCGCUGCCGACGACACACUCGUGCGGCCGUUGGCCCCGUCGUCCCCCUUAGGAGGGUGUACGCCUGGGACGGGGUGGUGCGCGAGUGGGUUAGCGCGCCACCCGUCUGGUUGGGUGCAACGCCGGAGCAGGAGGGGUCUACCUGGAACACUGGCGGCAGCGACGGGUGAGGAAGGAGGGCGAAGAGGCCCGAUGGAUCAAGUUGCUCGACUGCGAGGCUGAAGCCGAGGAGGAGCGUCGCGCUGCCCAGCAAGCGGCGGUGCAACCACCGACGGACGCGGUUGCCGUCGCCUGGGAGACGUCUUCCCUUGGGCUGGCCCGACGCCGACGCUCGUGCCGUCUAAAAAUGGGUCGUUGGUCGCGUUAGACGCAAGCGUCGACCCAAUUACAAAAGCGGAUACAAAUGUCCGUCGGACUAAUUCAAACAGAUAAAUACGAACAAAACACCGUUAGUUUAAAUCGACCUUGAAGUUACUCUUAAAUCCCGGAUGGAAUGAAGAUAUCACGAUCUCUAUAAUCAUUCAACCAUAUAUUGAUUUACGUGAGACACGAAUCUUUGAUUGAGUGAAUCAAGCUAGCAAUGAAGAAUAAAAGGACGAGGAAAGGUCGGCAGAUGGCGUGUAGCCCCGCAUGUCAUUCGCAGUCCAUCUAUCCGCGUCUGGAUAACUUCGUAUCGAAGUCAAGCACUGUUCCUUCAAUUUCUUUAAUCUGAGAGGAGCUCUGUUCUUAUGAUCUUAUCUACUUUCUCACCCUACCGCCUCCCUUCAGUACUCACACAAAACACCCUUAAAAUAAUAUUUUAUCACAUCGCGCACCAUCCCACACUUGCCCAACACGAGAGAAGCCUUACACGGCCCACCCAAGAAAAGCACAGGGCCUUUCUUGCAAAUUGUCCCCCGAUUUUUUCGGACGACGCAAACGAAAGGGAGAGAGAGGAGAGGAGAGGCGAGACGCCACCGAGAGAGGAGAGAGAGCCAUCAGCCAUGGGAGGAGGCGUCAUGCGCACCGCUGCGAAGGUCGGCCUCGCCGGGGGCGCCGCGGCGGCGGCGGGCCGCUUCCGCAACGUCGCCCCGUCCUUCGCCACGGCCCCCGCCGCCGAGGCCGCCGCGGCGGCGCCGCUGCUGUCCGCGGCCGGGGAGGUCCCCGCGGUGGCCCCGGCUGGGUCGCAGUGGGCGUCCUGGGAGGUGGACGACUGGGAAUUCGCGGACUGGAGGUCCGAGUCGGCGACGUCCGAGGCGGACGUGGCGGNNNNNN
rnacentral:lncRNA from 1 species